CAUUAGUAGGCCUCAGUAAAUGUUUAUUAGAUGAAUAAAUGAAUGACUCAUCAGCAAACAUUUAUUGUGUGCCUGCUAAAGUG
rfam:Macaca mulatta chromosome X, whole genome shotgun sequence.